CCAACAGGGAUUGCCUCAGUAACGGCGAGUGAAGCGGCAACAGCUCAAAUUUGAAAUCUGGCUCUUUCAGGGUCCGAGUUGUAAUUUGUAGAGGAUGCUUCGGGUGCGGCGCCGGUCUAAGUUCCUUGGAACAGGACGUCAUAGAGGGUGAGAAUCCCGUAUGUGACUGGCGACCAAGCCCAUGUGAAGCUCCUUCGACGAGUCGAGUUGUUUGGGAAUGCAGCUCUAAAUGGGUGGUAAAUUUCAUCUAAAGCUAAAUACCGGCCAGAGACCGAUAGCGCACAAGUAGAGUGAUCGAAAGAUGAAAAGCACUUUGGAAAGAGAGUUAAAAAGUACGUGAAAUUGUUGAAAGGGAAGCGCUUGCAACCAGACUUGCCUGCAGGUGAUCAACCGUCCUUUUGGGCGGUGCACUCUCCUGCGGUCAGGCCAGCAUCGGUUUGGGCGGCUGGAUAAAGGCCCCGGGAAUGUAGCUUCCUCCGGGGAGUGUUAUAGCCCGGGGUGCAAUGCAGCCAGCCCGGACCGAGGACCGCGCUUCGGCUAGGAUGCUGGCGUAAUGGUUGUAAGCGACCCGUCUUGAAACACGGACCAAGA
rnacentral:rRNA from 1 species